UACGAGGGGGGCGAGCGUUGUUCGGAAUUAUUGGGCGUAAAGGGUGCGUAGGCGGUUUGGUAAGUCUUAUGUGAAAUCUACAGGCUCAACUUGUAGUCUGCACGAGAAACUGCCGGGCUUGAGUAUGGGAGAGGUGAGUGGAAUUCCUGGUGUAGCGGUGAAAUGCGUAGAUAUCAGGAGGAACACCUGUGGCGAAAGCGGCUCACUGGACCAUAACUGACGCUGAUGCACGAAAGCUAGGGGAGCAAACAGG
rnacentral:rRNA from 1 species